AUAAAAGAUUCGUUGGGUGCCACAUAAGUUGAUUUUAUGACAUUUUACACACCUCCAAGAUGUGAAUACAUGCAAAUUAUCAUGUUGGAGAAUUAGGCUCAAUUAAAAUCAUUUUGAAGCUCCUUUCUUAAUUUAAUUUAGAUCAUCGUACGAGAAAAAAGUGAAAUAUUUCAAGAUUUUCGCUCAACGUUCUUCAUCUUCAGCUUCUGCAAUCGUCAACUAAGAACUUUCUUUUAUUUCUUUCUCCUCUUAAAUUUUCCCUUCAUAUUCUAUUUUUCAUUCUGCUUAUGUCUGAGCAGAUGUGUGAAAUUUAAUUUUUACAUUUAGUUUUGUGGAUUUGUGAAAUCUAUGAAGAAUUCCAAUUGAAGAUACAGUUUUGAUCUUAGAUUUAGUUCUACGGGCUUAUGAAAUCUAUAGCAAAUACGAAUUAGAGAUGAAAGCUAACAAAAAAUUAACAAAAAAACUUCUUGUUCAUUUUUCUUCCACGAUUUUGUUCUUUCAUUUAGUUUUGUGGGUCUGUGAAAUCUAUGAAGAAUUAGAGUUGGAGAUAAAGUUUUGGUCUUGAAUUAAGUUUUGUGUAUUUAUGAAAUCUAUAGAAAAUCCGAUUUAGAGAUGAAAGUUAACAAAAAUCUUUUUAUUCAUCCUUCUUCUUUGGUUUCAAUCAGUUCUUAUAUUUUCAACUAACGCUCUUGAUGGAUUGAAUUAUUUUGCCUGAUACACAACCUUCAUAGUGCUAUCUUUCAUACUAUUCACUUUCUCAACACUCUUUUACUUUACUGGGCAUCAACUAAAAAUGAAAAAAUACUAAAUUUAAUGAAAAUACUCAAUACGACAUAUAAAAGUGAAAUUACACAAAUCAAUGUUAGUACCUAAAGGAAAAAUGCUUAAAUGAUACGGGUAAGAGUGAGCUGGGGUUGGGAAAAAUUGGAAGAAACAGAGGGUAAAUUGAGGAGUGAGCUUAGACAUGGAAGAAUUUCGGUUUUUUGGGAAAUUCAAAUGAGAUCUUAUAAUUGUAGUGGUAUAUUUAUUUCAUAAAAAAAAAUUGAAUCAUAAAGUAACAACAAUCAUUGAUAUUAUGCACCCAAUUUCCGUUAGCUAAAUCGUUUAUCUUGAUCACUUUCUUGCAGGUUUCCGCCCAUAUCGUUCUGAUUGUGCUCUUCCGUGUGCUGACACUCUUUAACCUUGUUAUCCACCCUCAACCAUUUGUCGCUAUAUCACAUGACAAUAUAGAAAGAGAACAAGAUACAGUUGACCCUUUUGUGAUUUAUGAAAUCGGAUGUGUACUCUGGGCAUAUAUAAAUCAAAUUUUAGCUUUGAGUUGAGAAUCGUAAUUGCAAAUGGAGGGGAUAAUCUAAAGCAAUGGAAAGUGAUAAAAAAGUGAAUAUUCGAAUGCCAUGAGAAGCAAGUUAGAUGAAUAUUUUUGGAUUUUGCCAAACAUAUUGUCACGACCCGAAAUAGGAUUAUGAUCGGCGCUAAGGAGUUUAGGACUCCAAGCAAGCCUUGUCAGAUUUCUACAGAAAAUCGGACAGAGUUUUCUCUGAUUUUGGACCUAACAAGAAAAUUUCCUGUCUCAAUUCAACAACAAACAACCUAACAAGACAACCACCACACAAACACCAACACAAUUCACCAUAGAUCAUCAACAAUUUACCAAUACAACCAACUAACAAUACGAAAAUCAUCUCCAAAGAUGGGAGAAAAUCUAAUAUCCAUAAAUCCAAAAUAAAGAAAGAAUACUCAAGCUCUAAAGACAUGACUAUGGAGCAACUAAGAGUUUUCAAGAAAAAGAAACAUAAUGAAUAAAUAUAUUAUAUCCCACGCCAACAAUUGCGGGGCUAACUAGGAAUAUGCUACUCGGAUCCUCUAGCCAACGCGAUCCUCAUUGUCACCUGCGUUCUUUGAAAAAUAAUAGCGAGGAGUGAGACGCUAGAUCAGUGAGUAAUAACACUUAACCACAACCGUUUUAAUGGGGAUAAGUCAGAAAAUAUCAUGAAAUAAAUGUUCUUUCAGAAAACAGUAACAAUAAACAAUAUCAUUGUUUCAUGUAAGCCAAGUGAACCAAUAGUUCAGUAAUAAACUCAAAAAAAGCAUCGUAUCAUAUCAAAUAUUACAUAUUUGGGAGGUUUCCAAGAAUGAAUCAUGUAAUCAGAGUGGCAUUCUUCUUCAUCAAGAAUAAACCAUAACAGUGGACCCCUCAUAAAGGAGUCAAAUAUCAUAUCAGUAUCAGUAUGCUAUUUCUACCUUUCCACUAGCGAGGGCUGUAACAUUCAUCAGUAAAUACAAGGUGCACCAGGUCUAACGAUAGGAUAUUCAUAUCAAGGUCUAACGAGAUUCAUAUCAAGGUCUAACGAGAUUCAAAUCAAGGUCUACUCUCAUUUAUAAAUUCUUUGUAAACAAUAGGAUAUUCAUAUGAAAACAUCUUUCA